CGCCUAGUGUUACCAGAUGUGGCAGAAGAUACAGUCUCACCAACUAGAGCUCGGACCAUGAAGGACUAUGAAAAUCAAAUCACUGAUCUGAAAAAAGAGAACUUCAACUUGAAACUUCGUAUAUAUUUUCUGGAGGAGCGCAUGCAGCAGAAGUUUGAUGGCCCCACUGAAGAAAUCUACAAAAUUAAUAUCGAGCUGAAAGUUGAGAUAGAAAGUCUGAAGCGUGACCUGCAGGAGAGAGAGAAACUACUCAUCAAAGCCUCGUAAG